rnacentral:rRNA from 1 species
UACGUAGGGGGCAAGCGUUGUCCGGAAUCAUUGGGCGUAAAGGGCGCGUAGGCGGCUUGGUAAGGUUGCGGUGAAAGCCCGGGGCUCAACCCCGGGUCGGCCGUGGCAACUGCUGAGCUGGAGCACUGUAGAGGCAGGUGGAAUUCCGGGUGUAGCGGUGGAAUGCGUAGAGAUCCGGAAGAACACCGGUGGCGAAGGCGGCCUGCUGGGCAGUGGCUGACGCUGAUGCGCGACAGCGUGGGGAGCAAACAGG